rnacentral:tRNA from 1 species
GGAGAAGUCGCCUAGUCUGGCCGAGGGCGCACGAUUGGAAAUCGUGUAAACCGGAAACGGUUUCGAGAGUUCGAAUCUCUCCUUCUCCGCCA